rnacentral:pre_miRNA from 1 species
UCUUCAUUUCUCACACACUCUCACCCGCCAGAGUGGUGAGAGAGUGUGUAAAAUGAAGAGA